CUGGAAAAUUCAGUAUAUUUUAAAACCAUGCAAAAUAUCCUUUUAAAAAAAUAUGUAACAUGGAGUUUAGGACCAAGGCUCAGGUAACUAUAAAAAUUUUUACCUACAUAAAUUUCUAGUGGAGUGUUUGAAAUUUGUUUAGGACUGUGUCCUUCAUUGUGGGACAUUUGCAGAUUUCUCCCUUGCCCACUAAAUCUCAAUAGCACCUCCUCCCUCAAUUAUUGUGACAAUCAGUUCCUCCACAUUCAACAAAUUUUCCAACACCUCCCGAGCAGCACUGCCAUCCUUGUUGAGAACGUGUAUCUAGUUCAUCUUAAGAUAGAACUGCCCCCCUCAUCCCCACUUUCUCUCCCAAAUCCUGUGAAAGCCCAGCACAGGCACUGGGGGAUACAGCAAGCCACUUAGGAGGAUUCCCAGCUUGUGUCAUUGAAUCAUCUUUAAAUUUAUUUUUAUUUUUUUUUAUAUGUCUUAUCAUCUUCCAAAAAGGAUGUUUUGGUGAACUGCAAAGAGAUAUACUCAGAGACAGGAAAAAGAUCUGGUAGGGUGAAGAAUGAAAGAAAAACAGGCAGGCAGAAUAAAGCUGAAAGCUGAGCCUAGUAUCUAAAACGCACACUCCCAGGGCUUGUAUACUCAAUAAAGUUGAGAAGUAACUGGGUUGUCAAUUUAAAGAGGAAUACUUGAUCAGACACACAAUUCUAUGUUGAUAAGAUUAAAAACAAGCUCUAGUCAUCCUUCCGUACCUGUAGGAGAUUGGCUGUAGGACCUUUGUGGAUGCCAAACUCUGCAGAUACUCAAGUCCCUUAUGUAAAAUGGCAUAAGGGACCAUUUGCAUGCAACCUAUGCCCCUCCUCCCAUAUACUUUAAAUAAUCUUUAGAUUACCUAUAAUACCUAAUACAAUAUAAAGGCUAUGGAAAUAGUUGUUAUACUAUAUUUUUUCAUUUGUGUCAUUUUUAUUGUUAUUUUUAAUUUUUUAGAAUAUUUCCAAUCCAUGGUUGGGUGCGGAACCUGCGGAUACAGAGGACUGACUAUAAUAUCAAGAGAUCAUAAGGCUGUCGGAAUGGACUCUUUGUGGCAAUAAGAUACCAUAUUAUAAACAGGACCCAAGGUCAUGCCAGGAGGCUCGUGUGGUCCCUGUUUGUCAUCCAGUCAAUACGGCCAUCAGCUUCUGGCCCCAGACACCUUUCCUCUGCACUGUGGCACAGAGGAGCAGACUGCUUUGGAGGGCAGCUUCCUGGGAGCUCCAGGGACCCUGGCCAGGCGGCCACUGCCACUGACUUCCUCGGCUCACUGAGCCCGUGCCUGCAGCUCUCGUGUUUCCUCUGUGCUGCAGUGGACGCUUAUCUUCCCCCGAUGGCACAUUUCUUUGUCACAGACAGGACCCUCACUGGCAGUCGGAGGACAUCAAGCCCUAGUACAGGAAGGGACAUUUUCACACUAAUCUGUGCCAGCUGGAGCAGUCCUGCCAUCUGAACAUCAUAUUUUGGAACCCUGAGAAGCUAGGAUGCAGUUAACAGGUAAGUAGUAAUGGGAGAACUUUCUAGAAACCAUGUCUGGAGGAGGGGUUCAGGAGCUGAGAUGCUGAGCCUGGGGUAGGGAAGACUUGAGUGGGGCAGGCCCUACAAAAAGGGGUUCCAUCAAUCCAAAUAAGGAAAAGUCACAAAGGAAAGGUCUGGUCUCAAUAGUGAAGGGCAUUGUUCCCUGAGAGAUCAGUGUGUUGUCACAGGAGACAGGAAGCUCUGAACACUUCAAGACAUGCUUAGAAGGCCCCCCGAUGUCAGCAGAAAAGGGGCUGCUAAUGUCAUCUCAGAAACCAAGUUAUCCCCAUGCAACAAAAUCAAUCACGUAUCAAAACAUGAUGGAGAGACAGCCUGCAGAAGUCAGAUGGUUCCCGGAGCACUACAGGAUAAAAAGGACCUUGAAAUACAGAAGACAAAGUACAGGCUCAUGAAUGUCUGGACACACCAGCAAAUUGAGCCUGACCAACUGCACUGACAUCCUGAUGAGUCAGCUUGAAUCAAGAAGAUGGGUCCCAAAUAACUCAGGGUCACGCAGCAGAGAGAGAUGGGGAUUAGUCAAGUGUGUUCACUCUCUCACCGACUCUUCCUGAUUGAAUUCCCACACUAUGCUAGGCACUUUUUAGGGAGCUGUGUAUAUUUUCUUUGGAGGCACAGGGUUAGGCCAUUAUCUCUUCCAAGGACAGCAGUUUCUCUGUGAAUUUAUUCCUUGUCCACCAAAAACCUUCUAUUUCCUCUUUUAGCCUCCAUGGUUACCUGAAAAUAGGAAGGAAGGAAGUCUACGAUGAUGGAGCCAUAAGAUAUAUGCAUUCUUUACUGUAAAAGAUCACACAGAAAUUCUAGUUUAUAGAUUCCCCAAUGUUACCAUUCAGCCUUUGGAAGCCUGAUUCAAUUUGAAAGAGUAGAUAAAAUAUAGUUUCUAGAACUGACAAGGUGAGGAUGAGACCCAAGACCAGGGUGUGGCCACUACCAUGUGAACACUGGGAGGUCCUCCAACCUCCCCUGACAUUUCUCUUGAACUUCUCAAAGUUACCUGCUUGGACCCCAGGGGUAUGAGUUCCAAGGGCCCGAUCAGCUAUGAGAUUAUAGGCUGAACUCAGGCAUCAGAAUUGUUAGAGCUUUAUCUCAGUUCUGAGAAAUGGUUAAAACCACCCUUGGGCAGUCACACGUGGAAUCACUUAUUUCAUUACUAUGGACAUUUUCUUGUAGGAACAAUACAUAGUGAAAAUCCACUGGGAUAACCAACAUAAAACUGAUUUUGUUUUCAGUUUGAUAUAGCAAUUGCAUUUUAUUUGUUUGUUGUAAGUAUUGGUAAACUUUCUUAUUUUUUAAAAACAGACAUCUGUAAAAUUAUAUACUUUUUUCCUAUAAUAUCCUUUAAAGCUGCUUGAAAAAUGUUUAUUAUGACAAUGUAUAAAACUGGUAUACAUGGCCAAUAAUAAAUUUUUUCUCUAGGUUGAUGGUCCUUACUAAAAGCAUUUUCUCACCUCUUGAGUUUCCACUUCUCUUUCCACUGAUUGAAAUGGGUUGCAUCCAACCUGCAUUCUUGAAAUGGAGACUUCUUUAGUGAAACUCCAACACCCACUACACAUCGGUGGAGAAGGCAGAACAGCCAGGGGACAUACUGCAACCCCUCUCCUCUGGACCUCAAGUUUCUCCUCCACUGUCUAUUUGUUAUUUCUCUCCUGUCUCAGGAUGAAAGUGUCUUUUCACUCCUUCGAUGCUAACUCAUCAACUUGUACUCUUGGUCCCAAAACUCUGAUUUGGCUUGUGGCUUACAUUAGCUCCUCAACAUCUUUCCUUCAUGGCUGGAUCUCACCCUUCAGGUUUACAAACUUAGUUCACUUCCCUGCGGACUAAAAAACACAAGUCUCCAUUUUACUCUGGCUCUUCUCGGAGCAACCAUUUUACCUCCUUCCUUCCCACCACAAUUGCCCACUGACUCUGCUACACUUCUCUGUCUACCUUCUGCCCUUGCCACUUAAGAAGGUUACACACAUCCAAACCACCAAAUCCAAGAGACUUGGAUCCUUAAAUGCUGCUGAACCUCUGAGGACAUCUAACGUUGUUUCUUUCGUCUUUUUUCCUUAUGAAUCUGGUUCUUUCUUUGAAACCCCACAUUUCUCUGAUUUAUCCACCUUAUCUUCUUCCCCUUUCCUAUAGAAUAUGGCCAUGUCUGGCUCACCACUCUUGGUGGUCAUCUGCUUGAUGUUUUACUGCUCUGCCCAGUUGUCCUUCUUCCUCUCAAUGGUGGUGGCUGCCCAAUCUGCUGGACCCCUCAGUUCUAAUUGUUAGCUCAUUUCCUCAAAGAGAUGGCUUUUAAAACCUAGCCCAGGCAAACCCAAACUCAUCAUCUUGCCCACUGUGCUAGAUCUUUUCUGAUUGUUUGCCCAAUUCAAAAUGGAUUCUCCAUUCUUUGGAGAUGGACACCGAUCUAUAAGGUAGGCCCCAAGCAGCCAUUUGACCUGACUUCCUGGUCACAGGUGACUGGCACAGGGACAGCCACCUGCCUAAGACUCCUGUUUUUAAGUGAGAGAAACAAGAACUGGAUAAAGACUCAGUAGUGAAUGGUACUGCUCUGAGAGAAAGGUGCAUGGAUUCCUGGUGCUAGGGGCCCUUAGAGCUGCCCCACUUCCCAUCUUCCUGGUUAAUUCAACUCUUCCAUGGAUCUCUCAUAUAUGCUAGGAAAGUUCUAGUACAGUCUGUCUCUUAGCUAAGCUUGCUAGAGUUGGCUCCUACUUAGAAAACUUUAAGUAGUGAAUCCACUGACAUUUGUCAUCCAAGAAUCUCUCUCUCUGUCCGAAACCCCACCCAUUCCCUUCCCCAGCGAGGGCUUGAAAUUUGACUCUGAUCGAUCUUUCUGUGCAACCCACAUCCAGAACAUUCAAACCUUGUGCAUUUUAUCUCCAAAAUAAUCCUCUCCUCCAAGUCCUCUGCUACUGUCCUGGUUCCAGUCUCUGUGAUCUCUUUUCUGGGCUUGUCCAGCCUCUCCAGGCUCCAGUGAUCAUUCUGAUCGUAUCACUUUUCUGCCUAAUAUCUGAGGCUAAGUCUUGUAACUCUUACCACAGCAUUAAAAACCCUUCUCCAUCUGGCUCACAGGUGCACAGGGCUCAUCAUCUGCUAUUUCCAUUCCUAUGUGCCAGCCAGGCCUGAUCGCCGACCUUAUCCAAACAUUGUCCAUGCUUUGCAUCUUUCUUCUAUGAUUUUUGUACUGCUGAUCCCUUUGCCCGUUGGCUCUGGUAAAAUCUUUCUCCUUUAAGGUCUAUCUAAAGUCCUUUUCCUAACCCAGGGGAUAGAGAAACGUUCCCUCUAUCUUCUGGGACAGGAGUUCCCUGCUGGACUGGGAGGCACGGCUCCCUUUGAUUCCUGGCACUGCAGUGGUUGAUUGGUAAGUGGAUAUUGAGUGCACAGGAUCGUACACCAUCCCAAUGUCCACCAGGUUAGGAAAAGGCCUAGAGAGAAUAGCCAAAGUCAAAGCAUUUUCUACUGUCACUGCUUACCACGCUUUAAGCCAAAGUCAGGAAAAGGCAGGCUAGGGGUGCUGAGUGGUGAAUUACAUGGACUGUGCCCCAGACCUCCAGACCUCAGUGUCUGAAAAACAAGUUACUCAUGAAACUGGUUUUAGACUCCAGGAAAAACACAUUUAUGUGGCUUGCUGUUCAUAAAACACUUCCAUAUAUAUGAACUGAUUGAAAUUUUCACUGUGACCCCAGUAAGCAGUUAAAGUUUAUCGAUAUAAGUGAGGAAAUAGCCAGGUCAGAUGUAAAUCACAGACCUUCAACAGGAAACAGUGUUCCUUCUCUCGGCUAUCUCCAGUGCAAGUGUUAAAAUACAACGAAAAAGGCUAUUGGGGAAAGUCUGAAUAGGGCAGAGGACGGCUCUGCUUCUAAAGCACGUGAUGUUCUCCCCACCUUUGUUGUCACGCAUAUGAGCAUCCCUUGCCAGCCUAGGGAGGCUAACCACACAGGACAGAAAAUGUCACUCUUUCUCCAGGAAUAGGUAUUAUCCCCAAACACUUUGAUUUGAUGAUAAAGUAUAUCAGUUUUUCAGAAACCUAUUUCCCCCAUCAACUCCCCACCUCUAGGUUCAACCUGGAAAAUAAUCUGCACGCAUGUGUAUGAGUUUUAGCAGGAGGGGAUAUGCAUGUACACAUAUGCAUA
rnacentral:lncRNA from 10 species